ACUGCCGUGAAUGGACGUCACACGUAUCAGUCCACGCAAAUCUAAAAGUCCCUAAUUUUGCGAUGUAAGUUCCUUCUGAAAUGCAAAGACACGCGGUAUACACGUAGUAAACUGUUUUUUGCGAAUUUCUGAUUGAAAUACUUACUUACGAUAAUAGCAAUUAGUGUUAAAAAGGCGCGCGCGCAAGGAGUUCGCUAAAUUCAGCGAACUCCGUGCAUGCGCCUUCGUAUACUAUAUACUAAACGCUAUUAUCGUAAAGAUAAUAUAUAGGGCACCAGAUUUUCCUGUUAGCUCAUCAUCAUGCACCUUGUGGCCGUACGACAGCCGAGACUUGUCAACAGUAGGAAGGCGGGCUGGUGUUCCAGUGACAGAAGACGUGGACAUCAACAUCGUCAUCCCCUCGUAAAAAACGUCCAAGGAAUUCAAGAUGCCUUAUCAAGCAGGAGACCAUCCCGCACGCUGACAUUAACCAAAUACUUCCAUACCCCAGGAAUUUGAACAGGAGGUGUCGCUUUGUUCCUCAGUUCAGGUAGAGUGAGAUCAGGAGGACGUCGACGCUGCAGAAUUUCGAACAGUUCAACAAGGGUUGUUAACUGUGCUUUCUUCCAAAGUGUCAAUGUAGACCCAAAAGAAACUAAUAAGGACAUUGGCAAACAAAGUCUAAGAUGGCUGGGCGGUUCACCACCUUCGAAGAAGCGUUUUGGUAGUCGGUGAUGAGGACUACAUUUCAUUUGUAUCUACGGAGGCCGAGUAUCUCAAUGUAAUUCCUUCCCCUUUUAGGCCUUUAAAUAAACAGAAACAAAUGCGAAAAUAUAAUUUUAGAUCAAGAAAUACAUGGUGCGCAUGCAUUAUUGUCUAACCCAGAAAAUAAUCAACAACUCGCUGGUCAACGAAAAUAAGGACACAAAAGAGUGUGAUGAAGUGAAAAGCGCCUGGACAUCUGACGGCUGCAUCAUCGCGUUGAUAAAGCAUGAUGGUUCCCCGAUGAAGCGUGUGAUUAAGAACAUGGAUGAUCUGAGAAGA